AACGAACGUUAGCGGUGUGACUUAGGCAUGCAAGUCGCGCGUGAAAGUCGUAAGACGAGUAAAGCGGCGAAAGGGUGCGUAACACGUAAUCAAUCUACCCUCGAGACUGGGAUAGCCACUGGAAACGGUGGGUAAGACCAGAUGGUCCACUGGGAGGCAUCUCCUGGCUGGUAAACGGUGGCGUAAGCUGCUGCUCGGGGAGGAGGUUGCGGGCUAUCAGCUAGUUGGUGGGGUAACGGCUCACCAAGGCGAUGACGGCUACCGGGUCUGAGAGGACGGUCCGGCACACUGGGACUGAGAACUGCCCAGACUCCUACGGGUGGCAG
rnacentral:rRNA from 1 species